GGUGAAUGGGGGGCGGGAGCCGGCGGAAUACGAAGGGGGCGGGGGUUGUUUGGAACUACUGGGGGGAAAGGGCACGUAGGAGUGCUUUUAAGUCGGGGGUGAAGGCCUGGAGCUCAACUCCAGAACUGCCUGUGAUACUGGGAGUCUCGAGUUCGGAAGAGGUUGGUGGAACUGCGAGUGUAGAGGUGAAAUUCGUAGAUAUUCGGAGGAACACCAGUGGCGAAGGCGGCUCACUGGCUCGAUACUGACGCUGAGGUGCGAAAGCGUGGGGAGCAAACAGGAUUAGAUACCCGUGUAGUC
rnacentral:rRNA from 1 species